ACAUGGAUUUAGCUCACAAUGAAGCUAGAAGCCAUUUCUUUUCAUGGGUGCUAAACCUAGGGCUUGAUUUGGGGAUUUUGCAAAUAUUAGGGUUUGAUCUCUUUUGAGGGGUUAGAAACCUAAUUUCUAUGCUUAUAAACGCGUAGGCGAAGACGGUUCGUCGAUCCGACGAGUGGGCGCGAAGAUAUCGCCAAAUUGAGUGCUCUAGGUUUGAGUUUGGCUCGACGAGUUCAAGCGGCGUAAGAGAACGCGUUUUCUAGCUUUCGGCGCUACCAAAGGUGGGUGGUGACCAUCCCGAAGCAAUCGGGCUACCUUUUAUGUCUAAGUUUCCAAAAUUGAUCUAAGCAUAUUGUGCAUGUUCAUAUAGGGUUAGAGAUGGUUGAUAAUUGCUAUAUUUGCAUACUAGUAGAAAUGUUGCUUGAUUGGUGGUUGAUAAUCUAGUAUGCUUGACAAAUGAUAUGAUGAAAAAUUUAAUCCUAUAUGAGACGAUUAAUGUUACCGUUGCUAAAGAACUAGUAAGAUGAAACUAGUGUUGAUAAUGAGUCUAAAUGACGAGUGGCAUCUAAUUUAGAAAACAAUGACAAGUGGCAUCUAGUGAUAGAAAACUAUGAUGAGCGGCAAUUCAUAUUUGUCAACCUAUGAUAUGAAAACCUUAGUGUAGUGAAACACUAUGUGAUUGGGUACAAGAACAUUGAUUCCAAGAUGAGAUUGCCCUUUUGAGGGUAGGUUACUGUUGUUCGUGAGUUGAUCAUGCUCACAUAGCCUGUCUGCGCUUGGUUUGGGGUCGCUCCCCACAAGCUGUGCACUCCGGAGGUUGGUCACUCGAGGGACAGUCAGUGUGCUGUCUGGGCGGUCUGUGUGCUGCCCGCAGGCGGUCUCGGGAUAGUUGAGAGAGACUACUCCCCUGUGAGACUUACACGUGAGAUAUGUUGUGAACCCCGUGUUCACAUGAGAUUUGAUCUCCUAUUGAGUCAUACUCAUUAUUUGUUGUUCAUAAUAGCUCGUUGCCUAUAGUAGUCACCUACGUAGCUUGUUGUAGAUGUUUAUAGUAAUUUACUACUCAGCUUUAUUUAUUGCUCAUACAUCAUGUUUUCAGAUUGAGGCACAUUUAGCUAUUUAGUUUCCGUACCUGCUUCGUUACUGCUUUGAUAUAUAUAUUGCAUAUAUCUAUCUGUGCCUGCUUGAGACCUAGUGGGUAGAUCGGCGGAGUCGGCGGCUGAACCCACUGGGAACUAUUCGUAGUUCUCACCCCCGUGUGGUUUUGGGGGUACAGGUACACAGGACAGCGGGCCUUCAUCGAUGGAUCGCGGUAAGGGCAUAGCGCCCUAGCUUUUGGUAGAUAGCCUACUUUACCUACUUGCAUUAGCUCUACCCUGUACCUAUGCUUUUACAUUUUGAGAGUAGAUGUUGUAUAGGGUGAGGUUUUGGAGCGCAUAUGAUGUAUUUUCAUUUUGGGAAAGAAUGCAAGUUGUAUUAAAUGAUUAAAGUUUAAAAGAUAUCGAAAGAGGUUAAAUGUUCAAUCAUGUCUUAAAUAGUUAAGUUUCUCUCUUUUGUAUAUUUGUAUGCUUCUUACUUGUAUUGCUUGCUCUUGUUGAUAAAUAGCACUGUUCGUGCUCUCGUUUACCGUUGCUUGAUUGUGUAUGAAUUCAAGUUGUAUUCCUGGGGACUUGUUGUACACAAUCUGGUUGGUUAGCCUUGGGCGGGCAGGGGAGACUCUGUCCGUUCGGCGGUCACGCACGCCGCCCUCGAAUCGGACCAAAUUGGUACCGUUUCGGGUGGUGCGGUCGUGGGGCGUGACACCAAUAAUAUAGACUCCUUAUCUAGUUAUGCUUACUAUAAUUAAAACUUAUAGUUUAGAUAUAUAAUUUUUGAGCUAUUUCUCCGGUAUCAAUCAUAUUAGUAUGAAUUUAGUCAAAAGCGACAUUGCACGGAGAUAUAGAUCAAACAUACCUUAGUUAGCAUCAAUUUAAAAUCCUCCAAUUUUUUCCGUUUCCAGUCAUCAGUACUAACACCCAAGCUAAAUCCAUGUACUUUCUCCAAACCUGCAACAUAGAAGCUGCAAAACAUAAUAAAUUCAAUACGUUUGUCCGUAACUUUUUUCUAUACAAUAUUAUAUGGAAAAAAUAUAUUAUGUCUAAUCAACAUAAGAAAUAGAUUAAAAUAAACAUAACAUGAAUAUAACUAAUAAAACUCAUACGAAGGCGACGUCGCUUGCGAGGUUGGGCAGUCUCAGUAGCUUGAAAUCCUUGCUGCUCCGAUGCACUUGCACCUUUGCCAUCUCUACUAUUAUCUGCAAUACAAAUUUGAUUAUUAUUAUUAAUCUAACACAUCAAUAUGAAUCAAUCACAAACGAAUCAACAAAAUUGUAAUCUCAAAUUGACAAGUUACUAGCAAAACCAAAACAGCCAAAGCAGAAAAAUUUCACAUGAAAGCUACUAGCUGACAGCUAUGCAUGCUGCCUCAUUCAGAAUCAUAUAAAUUCACAGCAGCAAUUGAUGCGGAAAUGAGCCAUUAAUUUGGUUCCUAGUUAAAUCUAUGUGUUAGCUUCGAUUGAGCCACGAAUAGGAGCAAUUAUAUUGUUAGAUUGGCAUCAAAUUGAGCAUUCAAAUGAUCAGCUUGUUCGGUACUGAUAAACAAUAAAGAUUAACAUAGUAAGACUAAAUCAGCAGCUAUUUCUACAGUAUUUUUACUCCAGUUAGGCCCCAAAACUAAUCAAAAACCGAUUCCAUUCGAUGAGGGAACAAUCAUAAUACUAUAACUUGAUGCGUUUUCCUUUAUCCAAUCAAUUCAUUUUCCCUGAAAAUCAGUUGGUACGUAGGAAACUACAUAGAUCUUCAACAUAAGUAGGCGAAAUUAGAAUCAUACAGAACUGCGAAAUGCCUUAGAUCUGAGAAUCUCAUAAGAAGAGAGAGAUCCACUAACCUUUGCGGCUCUGGUGAGACGAUCUCCGCUCUAACCGACGGAGAUGUUGAGGACGAGCUUCUGCACCUUGAUCUCCCUCAUCGGGUUCGAGAGCUUCUUCUCCGACGCCUACGAAAGACAUGGAGAAAACAUGGCGAUUCCAUUAGAAAACGAAGAAGAAGAAGAAGAAAAAGAAGAAGAAGAAGAGAGAGAGAGAGAGAGAGAGAGAUUCACCAUGGAUGGACGCAGCGGAUCUCUGAGCUCAGAGAGAGGCGGGAGACGUGUCACGCCCCGAGUCCGCUACCNCCAUUGGAUUCGUGACUUUGAGACGAAGCUUCAGAACCCUUGUUUGCUGAAUUUGGAUAAGGUUAGCUUGGUCGGAUUUAACGCUUUCUUCGCUGCUGUUUUCUGGGCAGAUUUCGUGAUUUUGAGUGUAAUUGGGUUUACUUCUUCGCAGCAGGAGAACCGGGGACUUCGACGGACCAGCAAGGGAUCAUUUUGGAUCCAGGCCACUUUCUUCACUGCCAGGAGUUGCUUGAGAGGUGGGUUCAUCGGUUUUUGCCUCUAAGUACAUAUUAGUCGACUUGUAUGCUUUGUUCGUUGAACACUAAAUGAGGUAGCUCAAAUUCAUGGAUUAGUCGACUUGUACUGUCGACUUGUACUGUCGACUUGUACAUAUUAGUCGACUUGUACUGUCGCAGUUUCUUCGAGACGAGUACUCCAGAUAGUUUAGAAUGUAUUUACACUCGUGCUAUUUCGUCGAGUGGAUUUUUACAAGGUCGUUCAGGUUGUUUCGGACUGUUGGGUGCCGUCANGCGAGCGUGAGGACCGUGAGGCGCUCGACAAGGACAAAGGCAAAAAGAGACAGGGCGGUGGUUCGGGCGGUCAGUCUAGCUCCAAGCGGCCCCCGAAGUAUCCACGCUCUCAGCCCAAGGGUCGUGGUGCUCAGCGAUGCGUCUUCUGCGGCGGGGACCACCGGCCGAGUGUUUGUGAGCAGCGCCGAGGGAGGUGCUUCAAGUGCGGGCAAGCGGGGCAUGUCAUCCGUGACUGUCCUCAGGGAGGAGCUUUGCCGGCUAUGUCGACUGCAUCGGCCCCGGCGGUUCCAGCUCGUUAUGCCUUGCCCCCUCCUGCAGCAUCUACUGGGCGAGCGGCGGCGCCACGCCAACCUGAGCCUGCCCGAUCAGCGCCGAGCGGGAGGAUGUAUGCUGCACCCGUGCAUGUUGAGGAGCCUUCGGAGGCCGGCGAGCGCAAUGUUGUGGCAGGUAUAAUUUUGAUUAAAGAUGUUCGAGCUAGAGCUCUAUUUGAUACAGGCGCUUCACAUUCGUUCAUUAGUUGAUCAUUUGCACGAGCGCAUGAUAUUGAGUAUCGUCUUGGGAAGCACGUUUGCCAUGUUGAGGGCCCCGGGCGAUCCUUUUUGGUUAGGAAGCGAUGUUUGGCAUAUCCAGUGCAAGUGAAUGACUGGGUUAUGCCAAUCGACUUGUUGGUGCUCAAGAAGCUGAGGGAGUUCGAUGUCAUAUUGGGCAUGGAUUGGCUCUCGAAGUACUACGUAUCGAUCGAUUGCCCGACUCGAGUUAUCACCUUUCGGGAGCCGGGACAGGAAGAGUUCACCUAUCGAGCUUGCCAAAGCUCGUGUUUCGCCGCGAUGGUAUCGGCGGCUAGAGCGAGGAAGCUGGUGAACAGCGGUUGCAUCGCUUAUUUGGCGACCGUUGUGGAGAUUGAUCGAGCGGUUCCAAUCCUCGAGGAGUUAGCGGUUGUGCGGGAGUUCCCCGACGUGUUUCCCGCGGAGUUACCGGGUAUGCCGCCGGACCGGGAGAUCGAGUUCAUGAUUGACUUGGUUCCCGGCACCGCGCCGAUUUCUAAGGCCCCGUAUCGCAUGGCGCCGGCCGAGCUAAGGGAGUUGAGAGAUCAAUUGCAGGAUCUUCUCGACAAGGGAUUCAUUAGGCCGAGCGUUUCGCCGUGGGAUGCCCCGGUACUAUUUGUGCGCAAGAAAGAUGGAUCUUUUCGACUUUGCGUGGAUUACCGCGAGUUGAACAAGGUCACGGUGAAGAACAAGUAUCCGCUACCCCGUAUUGAUGACUUGUUUGAUCAGCUGCAGGGGUCGCGAGUGUAUUCUAAAAUUGACCUUCAGUCCGGUUACCAUCAGUUAAAGAUCAAGCCGGAAGAUGUUCAAAAGACGGCGUUUCGCACGCGUUAUGGACACUACGAGUUCACGGUGAUGCCGUUUGGGCUCACAAAUGCCCCGGCAGCGUUCAUGAGCUUGAUGAACCGAGUGUUCCAGGAGUGCUUGGACCGAUUUGUCGUAGUCUUCAUAGACGACAUUUUGGUAUAUUCGCGUAGUGACGAGGAGCACGCGGAGCAUUUGCGCACGGUACUUCAGAUCCUUCGGGAGAAGAAGUUGUACGCCAAGCUAAAGAAAUGCGACUUUUGGCUUCGAGAGGUUGCGUUUCUCGGGCAUGUUAUUUCCGAGGGUGGAGUUUCUAUUGACCCAAGGAAAGUGGAGGCUAUUGAGAAUUGGCCGUGCCCGACGAAUGUUACCGAGGUCCGUAGUUUUGUGGGCCUAGCCGGUUAUUAUCGACGGUUUGUGGAGGGGUUCUCUAAGAUUGUGACUCCACUUACCCGUUUGACGCAAAAAGGCACCAAGUUUGUUUGGAGCGACGAGUGUGACCGGAGCUUUAAAGAGUUGAAGCAGAGGCUAACUUCGACUCCGGUACUCGCUUUACCGGUGCAGGGACAGGACUACGUCGUCUACAGUGAUGCUUCUUAUUUGGGCUUGGGAUGUGUGUUGAUGCAGGGCGAGAAGGUUAUCGCUUAUGCAUCCCGUCAGCUGAAAAGUUAUGAAAAGAAUUACCCCAUUCACGAUCUAGAAUUGGCGGCGGUGAUCUUUGCCUUGAAGGCUUUGGAGACAUUAUUUAUAUGGUGCUCAUUGCGAAAUCUACACCGACCACAAGAGCUUGAAGUAUCUGUUUACACAGAAAGAGCUCAAUAUGCGACAGCGGCGGUGGUUGGAAUUGCUUAAGGAUUAUGAUGUUGAUAUCCUUUACCACCCCGGGAAGGCAAACGUGGUCGCGGAUGCAUUGAGUAGGAAGACGGCGAAGAACCUCGCUUUCGAUGUUACCCAGCAAAAACCCCUAGGGUUGGAUAUGGAGCGAUUGGACCUUGAAGUAGUUACUCCCGAGGUCCCGACACAGUUGAUGGCACUCGUUGUCCAACCGACUUUGUUGGAGAGGAUCAAAGAUCUGCAACUUGCGGACCCAGAACUCCAAAAGGUGCGGCGGAACAUCGAGAAAGGUCAUGGCGGCGAGUUCAACGUAGACGCCGAUGGUACGCUUCGGUUUCGGAACCGGAGGUGUGUACCCGCUGAUGAAGAGCUUCGCAAGCUUAUACUCUAGGAGUCGCAUUGGUCCCCGUAUGCUGGUCACCCGGGCGGCACCAAGAUGUACCAAGGCCUAAAAGCACACUAUUGGUGGCCGGGAAUGAAAGCCGACAUUGGACGUUUUGUGGCAAAGUGCCUAGCAUGCCAACAAGUGAAGGCCGAGCAUCGAUUCCCAGCGGGAAAGCUCCAAAGUUUACCUAUCCCCGUUUGAAAAUGGGAGGACAUAUCGAUGGACUUCGUGGUCGGCUUACCCCGCUCCAAAGGCGGCCACGAUGCAAUUUGGGUAAUCGUAGACCGAUUGACGAAGUCGGCUCACUUCUUACCGAUCCAUACUACGUGGUCGGGCGACAAGUUAGCGCAGGUGUAUCUUGACGAGAUAGUGAGGCUGCAUGGGGUGCCGAAAUCGAUCGUGUCGGAUCGUGACCCCCGGUUCACUUCACAUUUCUGGAAGAGCCUGCAGGAAGCCCUUGGCACACGGCUCGACUUUAGCACCGCAUUUUAUCCUCAGACCGAUGGGCAAACGGAGAGGACCAUUCAAACUCUGGAGGAUAUGCUGCGAGCGUGUGUCAUGGAUUAUAAAGGAAAUUGGUGUGAUCACCUAUCGAUGGCCGAGUUCGCCUACAAUAACAGUUAUCAUGCUAGUGUGGAGAUGGCACCGUUUGAGGCUCUCUAUGGACGGAUAUGUCGAUCUCCUAUACAUUGGAGCGAUGUAGGUGAGCGUGCGGAGUUCGGCCCGGAUGUGUUGCGGGAAGCGGAAGAGAAAGUCCGCCUUGCUCGCAAAAGAUUGCUCACGGCGCAGUCGAGACAGCAAAGCUAUGCAGAUAGACGCCGGCGAGAUUUGGAGUUCGCGGUAGGUGACCGCGUAUUCUUGAAGGUUUCGCCGAUGCGAGGCGUGAAACGAUUUGGGGUGCGGGGGAAACUGAGUCCUCGUUAUAUUGGCCCCUAUGAGAUUUUGGAGCGAAUUGGGACGGUGGCGUAUCGACUUGCAUUGCCCCCGAAGCUUGCGGGUGUGCAUGAUGUUUUCCACGUCUCCAACCUUCGCAAGUAUAUUCAUGACCCCGAGCAUGUGAUGCUAUAUGAGCCGCCGGAACUUCAAGAUGAUUUGAGUUAUGAAGAGUUUCCGGUAGAGAUUUUGGCUCGAGAGGUGCGUAAGCUAAGGAAUCGAGAAAUUUCCUAUGUUAAAGUCCGGUGGAGCAAUCACGACGAUCGCGAAGCCACUUGGGAACUCGAGGACCAGAUGAAAGCGAAUCAUCCUCACUUGUUUGAGGAUUGAGGUAAGAGUUUAAGUUCGAUUUACAAGUUAGUUGUUUCGAGGACGAAACUCCUUUUAAGGGAUGGAGAAUGUAAGAUAUCGAAUUCGACGACGUUGGCUAACCUUGGCCAAAUGGGCCAAAGUGGGCGAUUAAACGAUUGGGACAAGUUCCAUUCGGUAUUCCAACAAGUUUGGAAGAGUAAAAACGAGUUCCAAAGGUGUUGGAAUGGUUUUGACAUCGAUCGGCGCGAAGUAGAGCCGAAACGAAGUGAAAACAGCAUUCUGAAGCUUUUGGGUUUGAGGCUGCCAGGCCUUGUACCGGAACAAGGGGGCUUGUACGGGUACAAGCACUGCGCAACCGAGAAACCGAGCCUCGGGUUGAGCUGUCUGCCAGACCUUGUACCGGUACAAGGAACCCUGUACCGGUACAAGGGACCCGAAACUGCAGGUCAAGUUGGAAAAAUUAGAUUUUUGAGGGGGCUUUUGGGAUUUGUUACAAUAGAGGGUUAUAUCCCCUCUUUCUCAGCCUCUUUCCCUCUCACUCUCACAGCCUCUCUCUCUCUCUAGCUCCCUCUCUCUCUCUAACCGGUUGAAGGAGAAGAAGGAGAAAAGGAAAAGAGAAGGAAAAAGAAGGAAAAAGAGAGGAAGAAAAGGAAGGAGAAGAAGGAGAAGAAGGUUUGGGAGCUCUCCUUCACCUCAUUCUUGGCCUAGGGCUUGUUUUGGAGCAAACCCUAGAGGUAAGCCUCAACCCCUUUCAUGGUAACUUGGGAUUUCUAGGGUUUGAAUGGGUUUUGUUGCUUUAAUUGGUUCAAAUGGAACCUAAUGAGUUUAGAGAUGAUGGAUCUAGCUCACAUUGAAGCUAGCACCCAUGGUUUCCUCAUAGAUGCUAAACCUAGGUUUUGAAAAGGGCUUUGUUACUUAAGAAUGGUUCAAAUGGAAACCAUUGGAGCUUAAGAGAAGGUUCAAUCUCAAAUUUGGAGCUUGAAACCAUGAUUUCUCUAUUGUUGCUAAACCUAUGGUUAGAUUUGGGGUUUUUGGAAAUAUUAGGGUUUGAUCUCUUUUGAGGGGUUAGAAACCUAAUUUCUAUGCUUCCGAACGCGUAGGGAAAGACGGUUCGACGAUACGAAAACCGAGCGCGAAGAUAUCGCCAAAUUGAGUGCUCUAGGUUUGAGCUUGGCUCGACGAGUUCAAGCGGCGUAAGAGGACGCGUUUUCUAGCUUUCGGCGCUAUCAAAGGUGGGUGGUGACCAUCCCGAAGCAAUCGGGCUACCUUUUAUGUCUAAGUUUCUAAAAUUGAUCUAAGCAUAUUGUGCAUGUUCAUAUAGGGUUAGAGAUAGUUGAUAAUUGCUAUAUUUGCAUGCUAGUAGAAAUGUUGCUUGAUUGGUGGUUCAUAAUCUAGUAUGCUUGACAAAUGAUAUGAUGAAAAGUUUAACCCUAUAUGAGACGAUUAAUGUUACUGUUGCUAAAGAACUAGUAUGAUGAAACUAGUAUUGAUAAUGAGUCUAAAUGACGAGUGGCAUCUAAUUUAGAAAAUAAUGACAAGUGGCAUCUAGUGAUAGAAAACUAUGAUGAGUGGCAAUUCAUAUUUGUCAACCUAUGAUAUGAAAACCUUAGUGUAGUGAAACACUAUGUGAUUGGGUACAAGAACAUUGAUUCCAAGAUGAGAUUGCCCUUUUGAGGGUAGGUUACUGUUGUUCGUGAGUUGAUCAUGCUCACAUAAGCCUGUCUGCGCUUGGUUUGGGGUCGCUCCCCACAAGCUGUGCACUUCGGAGGUUGGUCACUCGAGGGACAGUCAGUGUGCUGUCUGGGCGGUCUGUGUGCUGCCCGCAGGCGGUCUCGGGAUAGUUGAGAGAGACUACUCCCCUGUGAGACUUACACGUGAGAUAUGUUGUGAACCCCGUGUUCACAUGAGAUUUGGUCUCCUAUUGAGUCAUACUCAUUAUUUGUUGUUCAUAAUAGCUCGUUGCCUAUAGUAGUCACCUACGUAGCUGGUUGUAGAUGUUUAUAGUAAUUUACUACUCAGCUUUAUUUAUUGCUCAUACAUCAUGUUUUCAGAUUGAGGCACAUUUAGCUAUUUAGUUUCCGUACCUGCUUCGUUACUGCUUUGAUAUAUUGCAUAUAUCUAUCUGUGCCUGCUUAAGACCUAGUGGGUAGAUCGGCGGAGUCGGCGGCCGAACCCACUGGGAACUAUUCGUAGUUCUCACCCCCGUGUGGUUUUGGGGGUAUAGGUACACAGGACAGCGGGCCUUCAUCGACGGAUCGCGGUAAGGGCAUAGCGCCCUAGCUUUUGGUAGAUAGCCUACUUUACCUACUUGCAUUAGCUCUACCCUGUACCUAUGCUUUUACAUUUUGAGAGUAGAUGUUGUAUAGGGUGAGGUUUUGGAGCGCAUAUGAUGUAUUUUCAUUUUGGGAAAGAAUGCAAGUUGUAUUAAAUGAUUAAAGUUUAAAUGAUAUCGAAAGAGGUUAAAUAUUCAAUCAUGUCUUAAAUAGUUAAGUUUCUCUCUUUUGUAUACUUGUAUGCUUCUUACUUGUAUCGCUUGCUCUUAUUGGUUGUAGCACUGUUUGUGCUUUCGUUUCGUGUUGAUUGUGUAUGUAUGCAAGUUAUUUUCCUGGGGACUUGUUGUACACAAUCUGUUGCUUAGCCUUGGGCGGACAGGGGAAACUCCGUCCGUUCGGCGGUCGCGCCCGCCGCCCUCGAACCGGACCAAAUUGGUACCGUUUUCGAGUGGUGCGGUCUGGGGCGUGACAGGUUAGCAAUUAGCUAGAACCUCCUCGGUGUCAUUAUAGACGGACCCUUUGAUAUCUUCAUUUUAGUUUAGCUUGACCGAUGUACAACUAUAUUUGGUUUAGAGAUCUCCUGGUUGACAAGAUGUACCUUCUAUUCACACUUAUUGUAUAUCUUGCGAUUAUUUUUG
rnacentral:lncRNA from 1 species